UGCAAUAAUAAAGUUGGGGGUCUUAUACGUUUGAAAUUAAAAGUUUGAUAAAGUAAUAGAUGGUCCAAGAGGACGAGGCAGAGUCUCGCAUUAGUCUAGAUUUUGGGUCAAAAGCAUUUCCUCCUCUUUCCACACAACAGAACUCAAAUUUUAUAAAACUCACAUUUUACUAAAAAGUGCCUUGCAAAUAAAUAUUGGUAAACGUGUUAAUUCCCUUUUUCCUAUGAUAAAAAUAUAAAUACGAAUCCAAAAACAUAAAGUGACAAUUGUUGUUGUUGGUGGUCUCCCGAAACCUCAAACUUCACCCAUUAAACAUGCAUACAUGCAUCUACCUUAGCUAACCAAUCCACUCUCUCGUUUUGCUUUUAAUAAUAACUAGUAGUAGUAUUGUUUCUUGG